rnacentral:misc_RNA from 1 species
GCAGCCAAAUUUGCAGCCAAAUUACCAACUAUCUUCUUAUAUUUAAUGUCCAUCUCUUCUAUCCUGUCAUCCAAAGAAUGCAUAGUGUUCUUGAUCAUAACUGGAGUUUGAGACCCAAUAUAAACACCGCCCCUUUGAAGAACUGAAUUCACUGGAGCAACUGAAAGAGCACCAAGAAUUACAUCUUUCUGAACAACAGAACCAGGUAGCACAAGACUUUGACUUCCAACUACAGAAUUAUCCUGAACCUCAAUUUUCCUUCUAGUGAACCCAUCGGAUGAAUAGAACCCGGCAAUCA